rnacentral:rRNA from 1 species
UGCAGCAGGCGCGAAACCUUUACACUGCACGCCAGUGCGAUAGGGGGACUCCGAGUGCGAGGGCAUACAGUCCUCGCUUUUCUGRACCGUAAGGAGGUCCAGGAACAAGUGCUGGGCAAGACCGGUGCCAGCCGCCGCGGUAAUACCGGCAGCACAAGUGAUGGCCGAUAUUAUUGGGCCUAAAGCGUCCGUAGCUGGCCGGACAAGUCCGUUGGGAAAUCCACGCGCUCAACGCGUGGGCGUCCAGCGGAAACUGUCCGGCUUGGGGCCGGAAGACCCGAGGGGUACGUCCGGGGUAGGAGUGAAAUCCCGUAAUCCUGGACGGACCGCCGGUGGCGAAAGCGCCUCGGGAGGACGGACCCGACAGUGAGGGACGAAAGCCAGGGUCUCGAACCGGAUUAGAUACCCGGGUAGUCCUGGCCGUAAACGAUGUCUGCUAGGUGUGGCGCAGGCUACGAGCCUGCGCUGUGCCGUAGGGAAGCC